UCUUUGGUGGUCCAGUGGUUAGGACGCAGCACUUCCACUGCUGAGGGCCUGGGUUCAAUCCCCAGUUGCUGAA
rfam:Ovis aries breed Texel chromosome 3, whole genome shotgun sequence.